rfam:Rhizobium sp. Root149 contig_4, whole genome shotgun sequence.
CGGCGGGACACCUCUCCCCAACGAGAGGCUAAUUACCUGGAAGGGUAUCUAUA